rnacentral:rRNA from 1 species
UGGGGAAUAUUGGACAAUGGGGGCAACCCUGAUCCAGCCAUGCCGCGUGUGUGAAGAAGGCCUUUUGGUUGUAAAGCACUUUAAGCAGAGAAGAAGACUCCAUGGUUAAUACCCAUGGACGAUGACAUUAGCUGCAGAAUAAGCACCGGCUAACUCUGUGCCAGCAGCCGCGGUAAUACAGAGGGGGCAAGCGUUAAUCGGAAUUACUGGGCGUAAAGCGAGCGUAGGUGGCUUGAUAAGUCAGAUGUGAAAGCCCCGGGCUUAACCUGGGAACGGCAUCUGAUACUGUUAGGCUAGAGUAGGUGAGAGGAAGGUAGAAUUCCAGGUGUAGCGGUGAAAUGCGUAGAGAUCUGGAGGAAUACCGAUGGCGAAGGCAGCCUUCUGGCAUCAUACUGACACUGAGGUUCGAAAGCGUGGGUAGCAAACA